rnacentral:rRNA from 1 species
GGGUAAUAUUUCCCAAAGAAACCCUCACUCCUUGACGGCCUUAAUUCUGUUUAGAGGAACUUGUGCCCAUCGACAUUACACGCUAAAUUUCACUUUCUUACCGUUUUUAUACCGCCGUCUAAAGAGUCUAUUUAAGAGUAUACUCAAAAAAACUAAUUUUAUCAAGUCAGGUCAAGGUGAAGCUAACAAGAAAGGCAUCAUGAGUUAUUUAUAAAAAAAAUUUAAGGCCUAAAUCUAAAGAUCUUAGUAAAAAAAGAUUUAACAGUAAUAUUUAGAUAGUAUCUUUUUAUGAACUUGUUUAUAAGGUGU